GCGUUGCUCGGUAUGACUGGGCGUAAAGGGCGCGUAGGCGGAUUGAUCCGUCGGACGUGAAAUUCCUGGGCUUAACCUGGGGGCUGCGUUUGAGACGGUUGGUCUAGAGUUUGGGAGAGGGUCGUGGAAUUCCCAGUGUAGAGGGGAAAUGCGUAGAUAUUGGGAAGAACCCCCGUGGCGAAGGCGGCGACCUGGUCCUGGACUGACGCUGAGGCGCGAAAGCGUG
rnacentral:rRNA from 1 species